CUAACCCCAUGCAAAGCCUCUGAAGGUAGUUCAUCAAUAUUUGUGCAUAACUACACAGCUACGUUCUCAAUUUCUAACAGAAUUGUUCAUUGGGCUCUACUCUGCUUCAUAAAAACCAUAUAUAUUUAUUAUUAUUAUUAUUAUUAUUUUCCAGGAAGUCUCUACACUACUUAUUUCAAUGAAAAUUUUAAUACAUUUUUUUUUCUGAAAGCUGCCACCCUGCAAAGACUGAAGUUUUGGAAACAUUUUGCUUCGAGAUAUGAUAUAACUGGAACAUUUAUAACUAAUAUGAUACAAAAUAUGAAUGGAGGGAAAACAAUGCAAUUAUACUUGAGGGUUUCUUAUACUAUCAUUUCUUCAUGUAAAAUUAAUAGAGAGGUGUUUCUGAUUGUGUUAAUGCAGAAUAGCAGAGAUGGAAAUCCUGUUCUGUCAAUUCUUUCUAAUAGAGCAUUGUUCCCUAUGGCACAUUAUUCACUGCUCUGAUUACUGCAGCUCUGAAUGACUCAGUUUCCGCAUUUCCUUAAAAGAUUACUCAAUCUGUUAAAUAGGUUCAGGACUGAGAGUUGGUUUCCUCACUCAGUUUUAUCCAAUUAAUUCUAAUGAUUGGCAACAAUUCUGGACAAAUUUGCUUGUAUUGUUUUGUUAUCUUUGUUUUGAGACUGUCAAUGUCCUACGAGAGAACCUCAUGGAAAAAGACAAUCCCACCUUUAACACGGACAUUUUAAUUCAUAUUGUGUGAAGCAAAAAAAAAAAAAAAAAAAAAAUCAUUGGGUUCUUUCGAUGUGAACGCUGUACUGUGUGCUUUUAUUCAUUAGGCUUUUUUCCUCUAUCACCUUUCAAAUAAUGUCUUUUCACAGAAUUCCAAGUGUCCCAGUGGAAACAUGCUCUGGAUAAUUUUUCUCCCAGUUACUUUACCUAUCCUUUUUCUAGGCCAAAUCUCUUCCAGUGUUUUUUAAAUAAUUUCACUGUAAAGGCUUACAGACUUAAAGGCUUACAUGGUGCCAUGUAGAUGUGGUGUAGCAUGAGAUGUUCCUGGAUUAAUGGUGGUAGAAUACUGGGGCGCAGGAGGAAAUGGGGUGAGUGAGUCCUUGUUUCACUGCUGUCAAUAAAGGGUUGAUGUUCAAGGAAUUAAAGGGUUGAUAGAGUGCCAACUUCUGGAUAAGAAAUAAAACAAAAGCCCUGACGGUUUGUGGCUAUUAAAGUUUCCAUGGCUCUCUUCCAACACUAACAUACUAUUUUGAAAUCCUGACAAAAUUCAAAUUGACUUAUUUACAUUCUGCUUCCCCAUAUUUCCUAUUAUUGUAUAACACAUUCUUGUUACUUAAUUGCUGUGUAAUGUCCUGUGAUGCUAAGCAGGUGCUGCUGCUGCUUUGUGCUUGAGAACAUGAUCUAAAUGUAAUGUAAACCUGAAGUUCAAUGCAUCUCCUGUAUCUCUAACCUCUGAUUCCUUUUUAUAUCAUUUAUCUUAAUUCAGGCUAAUACCAUUUUAGGAUUAUCUUCCUAAAUUUAUUUACAUUCCUUUCAACAUUUACACAUUCAGCCAUGGGAUAAAAUUCCUCUCUCAAGUACUGCUGCAAGGAUGUAGUGUAUGCACACAAUAACACACCUACUGAAACUCCUCAAUACUUUUGAUGUGCGUGCACACACAAAAAAGUAAUUUUCUUUCUUUCCCGGUCCAAGAAAUUUUAUCCUUCACUUCCAUUAUGGAAUCAAACAACAAAAGCAAGAGUUUAACUGUAAAGAAAUUAUUAAAAUUUUGAAAUGCCAUGUUUCAAGAAAAUGUUCAGUCAUGCUUUUGUCUUCCAGGAAGUUAUCUGAGCAGGACUUGGCCUUCUUCUACUCCAACCAUUUCACAAAUUUUCUUGGUUGUGUGAGCAGAAGGAGACCAGCACAUACCACAUUCUGGUUGUACCCAUGUGUGAUAAUCUUGGGAUAGAUCUAAAAAUAUUUCAAAGAAAUUGAAAGGCACAAAGGCAACUGCAAUCUGCAGUAUCCUCACUCAGUUCUUAUUUAACUGCACAGACAUCUGACUUUUUCAAGUGUCUUUGGCUUUAAUAUACAUUAUAAACUCAGAAUUCUGAUUUUGCACAUACCAAAAUCCAUCUAAAGGGCUCACGUAAUAUGCUAUCUACUGUGUGAGCCACCACAGGCACCCAAGCUGUAGGCAAAUUCUGUUUGUCUAAAACUUACAGUUUUGGAACCCAAAAAGUGCAAUGUUGGCUGCUUUUAAAACUGUGGUGCCACAGCGCUUUUUCUUCCCCUCUAACAAGGGAACUUGGGAUCAUCCUACUUUUCCAAGAAACUGAAAAUUCAGUUGUUUGCAUAUCAUGAGAGAGCUGAAAUUUCAUCUUCCAAAGUCUGGUAAACUGGCUCACUGCUACCAACACUGAAAUUCUGCUGUGCUGGCUGGUGCCAACUGAAGCAGUAGUGAGCUGUUUAGGUACCCAGGACUCUUUUUUUUCAACCAGAUCUCUGUUUAAACUGUGAGGUCUCAGGGCAGGAACAUAAUCUGUGUUUGUAAAUCAUACAAAAGUUACUUUUUCAUAUUUAAAAACAACAAUGAAGGAAGGGGUCGAUGGCUGUUUCUUUAUUUGUAGUAAAUCAAGAAAGAAAGGAAAUGUGAGAUGAAUGGGGAAGUGAAGAGUAAAUUCUCCCUUAAUUUUCAUUUCUAAUGUUGGGAAUAAUAGCUCCUUUUCCAUUUUUGCUGUACGUUUUGAUAGAUGGCUUCCACAACUCUUCUUGUUCUUUAAUAAAACAAUAUUCUUUAAGAACUUUCAGGAUCAGUGAUCUAGAAAAAAUGUUAAAACUCUGCUAGUAUGUGUUUAGGACUGAGUUUGACUGCAAAUUUCCACUCCUUAGUAAGGUUAACACCAAAUGAAAUUCAUGCUAUGUUUCCAUAAAUAGGUAUUCUCCACUUGUACUUUCACAAGUGGAGAGAAUAGGUGAGAGAAUAUUUCAAAGCUGAAAAAAGUAUUUGCAAAUUGAAAUGCUAUAUAGGUUUUCUUUAUCAUAAGGAAGAACAGCAUGUAACUGUUACAAUGCUGAGUGAUCUCACAUAACACCAUCCAUUUUGCAGUCUGUCAGUAAGCUUUACACAACUUUGCUUUUAAAAAUAAAAGAGCAGAGGUUGUAAUAUUAAUGAUUCUUUAAAUCAACAACUGUACAGAAAAGAAGAUUGUUCCUGAGAAAGUUCCUGGAAUUUCACAAGAGCACUAAUCCUUCUAUCACUUAUUAAUAAACUUAGCGCCUAAAGGCUCCAAUUAGGUAUUAAAACACAGCAAUAAGAGGCAUUGUAAAUGGGCAAGACAAAUCUCCCCUUAGGGACUAUAGUAUAAUAUUGUUUUAAAAACUAGUAACUUCUUAAAACAGCUUUACAGCCGUGGUGGACUUUGGCCUAGAUCCUGCAAUGAAAAUGUGUGUUGUGAGUCCCCCUUGAGCAAGACAAGGCAGGGAACAUGCUCCUGCUGUAAAAGCCCAUUAAAAAUGGAAGUCCUUGCUACAAAUUGGAUUUUUUGUUCACUUUCAGAAGCAAACAACCAAAAAACAGGGUAGCUACCAGUUGAUAGUAAACAUCCACACUAAGAAUUACUGUCUGUAUGAUGUAAAAUACCAUCGAGAAUCUCCAAAGCCAUGGAGUACCAUAAACCCACAAAUCCAAGCAGAAAAUCAAGCUGCUCAUUGACCUGGAUGGCGGAGCAACUCUUGACCACCGAUCACACUGCUGCUGUAGGUGGUGCCCGCAGCAUUAUCCGAGAUGUUUGACCUGGGAUAACUGCGUGGAGCCACCUCGAUGGAGGUGGCUGGAGCCCUGUGUUGCCUCUUGGUCUGUGCUGACCUUUGUCCACAGCCUGACAUUCCUUUCCCACCAAUACAGGUAUGAGCCCCGCUUUGCGCACACGAUGCUAAAGGGCCGUGCAGGCAAAACCGGGUAUUUCCAACACCAGCAUCCCAACCCCUGCCCGUAAUUUCUUCACCUCCCGACGUCCCAACUGGUGCCUGCCCUGGGUGCAGCCCGCACCCGGAGCAUCUGCCCCCUUCCUUGGGGUUCUUGCCGGUCACCCGCUGCGGGGCGCGGGGGCGGCUCCGGCCGCCGGGGGGAGAGUCCGCGGGGUCCGCCCAGCGCCGCGGCUACACGGGCUGCGGCAGGAAAGGAGCGGCGGCUCCUCGGAGGAGGAGGAAGGGGGGGUCCCUCGGAGCGGAGAGGCGCGGCGAGGCGGGGCGGGGUGGGCGCAGGAGGCGUGGAGGGGAGCGCGGCUGGAGCGCGGAGCGGCGCGGAGGGGAGCGUGCCAUGCGCGGCGCGGCUGCUGGC
rnacentral:lncRNA from 1 species